CCUACGGGAGGCAGCAGUGGGGGAUAUUGCUCAAUGGGGGGAACCCUGAAGCAGCGACGUCGCGUGGGUGAAGAAGGGCCUAGGCGCGUAAAGCCCUGUCUGUAGGGAAGAAAAUGACGGUACCUGAAGAAGAAGCCCCGGCUAACUACGUGCCAGCAGCCGCGGUAAUACGUAGGGGGCAAGCGUUAUCCGGAUUUACUGGGUGUAAAGGGGGCGCAGACGGGGAUGCAAGCCAGGAGUGAAAGCCCGGGGCCCAACCCCGGGACUGCUCUUGAAACUGCGUGGCUGGAGUGCAGGAGGGGCAGGCGGAAUGCCUGGUGUAGCGGUGAAAUGCGUAGAUAUCAGGAGGAACUCCGGUGGCGAAGGCAGCCUGCUGGACUGCAACUGACGUUGAUGCCCGAAAGCGUGGGUAUCAAACAGGAUUAGAUACCCGAGUAGUC
rnacentral:rRNA from 1 species